AAAAUGUAUAAGCAUUUUCGACAGCGAAAAAAAAAUCAAUGCCAUUUGUCCAAAAUUAGACUGCUUUUAAGCGAGUUUUAUGCCUGUGUAAAGAAAAUACAUUUAAAGAUAAUCUUUAAACGUUUUUUAAGACUUUUGUGCCAUACAUACAUUAUGAACAUUGUCUUCGUAUGGGGCAACAAAGUGCCAUACAUAAUAAAAUUUUGAAUAGAUUUCAUUUGCCAGAAUUGACAUGACAUUGAACAUAACUUUUGUGAAUGUGACAGCGUGUAUUUAAAUGAUUCAUGUAAUGUUUGAUUUGGGGUACAUGAUAGUAAUAUUAUUACGUUUAAGAACAAAUUUUCUACCCGUUAUUUUCAUAUAGAAAAGAUAUUCUUCACACGAAAAAAAUGUAUCAUUAAUGAAUAUGCAAUAUUUUUGUUUUGUUUUGUAUGCAUACAUGCUAUAAUAGCAUGAUCAUAUACAAUGUUGUAUCCAUCAAUAUUUUGUUCAAAAUGUAAAGUGACUUUAAGAUCCAAAUGGACAAGGUAAAAAUAUAAAAAAAAAAUGAUUGUACAGAAUUAUGAGAUGUUGAUCGUUAUACAAAAUUAUUAUUCUGUGAUUUGAACAUAUCUUAUUCGAUAAAUUACACGUAGAGCGGAUUGGCAACAAGUUCCUUCAACUUACUUUUCCUCUCCUCAUGUUUCAAAAUUCGUUUGUAUAUGUUGUGUACAAUAAAAUAUGUUUAAAUUCAAUGAUAAUACAUUAAAAAGAUAGAAUUUUUCUGUACAAUCAUGCACUGAUCACUAUUAUACACAAUUCAUGAAAUAAUGAACGAAACCGCCAUUGUAUAUUUGUGUAAUUAUUCGAGUAUGAAUUAUGUGUUCUUUGUUGCUUAAAUUUGGGGAUUUUUUUUUUAAAUAAAAACAAUUGGAAUC
rnacentral:sRNA from 1 species